UUAAUGGAGAGUUUGAUCCUGGCUCAGGACGAACGCUGGCGGCGUGCUUAACACAUGCAAGUCGAACGGUGAAGGAGGAGCUUGCUCCUCCGGAUCAGUGGCGAACGGGUGAGUAACACGUGAGCAAUCUGCCCCGGACUCUGGGAUAAGCGCUGGAAACGGCGUCUAAUACCGGAUACGACGCGGGAGGGCAUCCUCUCCGCGUGGAAAGAAUUUCGGUCCGGGAUGAGCUCGCGGCCUAUCAGCUUGUUGGUGAGGUAACGGCUCACCAAGGCGACG
rnacentral:ncRNA from 1 species